UACGUAGGGUCCGAGCGUUGUCCGGAAUUAUUGGGCGUAAAGAGCUCGUAGGCGGUUUGUCGCGUCCGCUGUGAAAAAUCCAGGGCUUAACCCUGGACCUGCAGUGGGUACGGGCAGACUAGAGUGCGGUAGGGGAGACUGGAAUUCCUGGUGUAGCGGUGAAAUGCGCAGAUAUCAGGAGGAACACCGGUGGCGAAGGCGGGUCUCUGGGCCGUAACUGACGCUGAGGAGCGAAAGCAUGGGGAGCGAACAGG
rnacentral:rRNA from 1 species